UAGUCCACGCCGUAAACGAUGGAUACUAGCUGUUCGGACUUCGGUCUGAGUGGCCCAGCGAAAGUGAUAAGUAUCCCACCUGGGGAGUACGAUCGCAAGAUUGAAACUCAAAGGAAUUGACGGGGGCCCGCACAAGCGGAGGAACAUGUGGUUUAAUUCGAUGAUACGCGAGGAACCUUACCUGGGCUCAAACAUUACUGGACCGCUUCUGAAAGGAAGUUUCUCUUCGGAGCUGGUAGUGAGGUGCUGCAUGGUUGUCGUCAGCUCGUGCCGUGAGGUGUUGGGUUAAGUCCCGCAACGAGCGCAACCCCUAUUCUUAGUUGCUAGCAGGUAAUGCUGAGGACUCUAGGAAGACUGCCGGCGUAAGCCGCGAGGGAAGGUGGGGAUGACGUCAAAUCAUCAUGGGCCUUUAUGCCCAGGGGCUACACACGUGCUACAAUGGUCGGUACAGAGGGGUCGCGAAGCCGCGAGGGUGGGAGCUAAUCCCACAAAACC
rnacentral:rRNA from 1 species